GCUCCUUUGGCUCAGUUGGUAGAGCGUAGGUCUCAUAAUCCUAAGGUCGUGAGUUCGAGUCUCACAGGGAGCA